AACGAACGCUGGCGGCGUGCCUAACACAUGCAAGUCGAGCGCGAAAAGGGCAACCUGAGUAGAGCGGCGCACGGGUGCGUAACACGUGGGUAAUCUGCCUUAGAGUCGAGGAUAACCUUCCGAAAGGUUGGCUAAUACUCGGUAAGCUUACGGUGUCUUCGGACGCUGUGGGAAAAGUAGGCCUCUGUUUACAAGCUUACGCUCUGAGAUGAGCCCGCGGCCCAUCAGCUAGUUGGCGGUGUAACGGACCACCAAGGCAACGACGGGUAGCUGGUCUGAGAGGACGAUCAGCCAAACUGGCACUGAGACACGGUCCAGACUCCUACGGGAGGCAGCAGUGGGGAAUUUUCCACAAUGGGCGAAAGCCUGAUGGAGCAACGCCGCGUGUGUGAUGAAGGUUUUCGGAUCGUAAAGCACUUUCGACUGGGACGAAAAACCUUUGGCUAACAUCCAGGGGCCUGACGGUACCAGGAGAAGAAGCACCGGCUAACUCUGUGCCAGCCGCCGCCGUAACAC
rnacentral:rRNA from 1 species